AGUGCACGUUGGGGUGAGCAGGCGGCGGUGGUGCAGUGUCUAUGUCCUCGGAGGUGAUUAGGGGGACUGCAGAGAUGGUUCUAGGUGAGUGAGGUUCGGCGGAAGGGUUCCGGCCGAAUUCUAGAACUUCUCUUAGUGCUUGGCGCGGCGUAGGCGCACUCCCAAAUAUUCGUGGGGCCCUGGUCGCUCGCCCCAGACCCUCAGACCUGGGCCACCUGGACACCGACUCGGUGGUCCGGGUCUGGUUUUGCUCCAGCCCUGUGCGUCCCUCGGCCACCGCCUCCCUAGCCCAGCCCCACCGCGAAAGUCUCGUGAUUCCGCCGAGGCUAGGGCGCUGCAAGGGUCUGGGACCUAGUGAAGCCCCAGAUGUGAAAUUCUUAAGUCGUUCUUCUGGGAAUGAUGUAAGGCUUUUAAUUAAUUUCCGCACAACCUCUUUUUUUUUUUUUUUUUUUUCUCCGUGAGAUCUGCAGCGGUGAAAAUAAAAAGAUUUAAGUGACCGAGGCGAUGUCACAGUUGUGAGGCCCUCCCUCUGCGGCUUAACCCCAGAGUUUGUGAUUUGUUUCGAAAAGCACAGGGAACUAGCAUUUUCAUUUGCUCGCAGUGCACUGUCACUGGGAUACCUGGUUCAGGGCUUGUUCAGUUUUAUUCUCAGUACAGCUCUGUACGAUGUAUAGUGUCUUCCUGAUUUUAUAGAUGAAGUAAGUAACCUCAGGAAGAUUAGAUGAAUUCUCCCCAGGUCACUCCGACUUUAAAGAUACAGCAUCUAAUAAAGUUAGGACGAACUGUAAAACUCUGCCUUGGUUGCUGUGCAGCCAAGUAGAGAGAAGUGCGAAUGGGUUAAAAUAAUG
rnacentral:lncRNA from 1 species